GAGCGUCAUUUCAACCAAUCCAGCCUCGUGCUUGGGCCUUGGGCCUUUCGCCUCUGGGCGGGCCUCAAAAUCAGUGGCGGCGCGUCUGGCUCUGAGCGUAGUAAUACUCCUCGCUAUAGACGUCGGGCGGUGUCCUGCCAGCAACCCUAUAUCUUUUAAAGGUUGACCUCGGAUCAGGUAGGGAUACCCGCUGAACUUAA
rnacentral:misc_RNA from 1 species